AAUAGAUACCCCGGUAGUCCACGCCGUAAACGAUGAGUGCUAGGUGUUGGGGACUCCAAUCCUCAGUGCCGCAGCUAACGCAAUAAGCACUCCGCCUGGGGAGUACGGCCGCAAGGCUGAAACUCAAAGGGAAUUGACGGGGGACCCGCACAAGCGGUGGAGCAUGUGGUUUAAUUCGAAGCAACGCGAAGAACCUUACCAGGGCUUGACAUCCCUUUGACCCCUCUAGAGAUAGAGGCUCUCUUCGGAGCAGAGGUGACAGGUGGUGCAUGGUUGUCGUCAGCUCGUGUCGUGAGAUGUUGGGUUAAGUCCCGCAACGAGCGCAACCCUUGUCCUUAGUUGCCAGCAUUCAGUUGGGCACUUUAAGGAGACUGCCGUCGACAAGACGGAGGAAGGUGGGGAUGACGUCAAAUCAUCAUGCCCCUUAUGUCCUGGGCUACACGCGUGCUACAAUGGAUGGUACAACGGGCUGCGAACUCGCGAGNGUAAGCGAAUCCCGUAAAAACCAUUCUCAGUUCGGAUUGCGAC
rnacentral:rRNA from 1 species